rnacentral:tRNA from 1 species
UUACUUAAAAGUUGUGGGUACAAUCUUAAUUGGAAUUAAUGUUUAGGAAUAUUUAAAAAAUACUUGCAUUUUCAAAAAUAGAAAAAAAGCUGGAAAUAAUAAGCUAUUAAGCAUGUUUGUAUUUUGUAAAAUGUUGUUACUGUACUAAGGAGAACAGUAGUUAGAAACGAACUGACGUCCUAGACGUUUUUCAAGAGGCGCGGGUUCAAUUCCCGCUACGUAAA